rnacentral:rRNA from 1 species
CUACGUGCCAGCAGCCGCGGUAAUACGUAGGGCGCGAGCGUUGUCCGGAAUUAUUGGGCGUAAAGAGCUUGUAGGCGGUUUGUCGCGUCUGCUGUGAAAGGCCGGGGCUUAACCCCGUGUAUUGCGGUGGGUACGGGCAGACUAGAGUGCAGUAGGGGAGACUGGAACUCCUGGUGUAGCGGUGGAAUGCGCAGAUAUCAGGAAGAACACCGAUGGCGAAGGCAGGUCUCUGGGCUGUAACUGACGCUGAGAAGCGAAAGCAUGGGGAGCGAACAGGAUUAGAUACCCUGGUAGUCCAUGCCGUAAACGUUGGGCACUAGGUGUGGGGGACAUUCCACGUUUUCCGCGCCGUAGCUAACGCAUUAAGUGCCCCGCCUGGGGAGUACGGCCGCAAGGCUAAAACUCAAAGAAAUUGACGGGGGCCCGCACAAGCGGCGGAGCAUGCGGAUUAAUUCGAUGCAACGCGAAGAACCUUACCAAGGCUUGACAU